UUUUAUGAUUUUACAUUUUUAUUAAUUGGAAUACUUUUUUUUUUUAAAGCAAAAACGACUAAAAUACUAUAACAAAAAUUUUAAAAUUAUUUUGGAACGCUGAACUGAUGGGCAUGAUGAGCAGUAAACUUUCCAGCAGACAAGUUCACUAACCAGCCCAAUUCUAAAAACAUGGCCAAAGAGUUGAAUUACAUGGAUUCAGCAGUUGGACAUGGAGGAAUUGAUAUAUCAGUGAUCCCUUCUAACAUCAUAACUACACUCUUCAUUGAAGGACGAAGAGCUGGUUCAUCCUGAAUACACCACAGUGCCACCAUCACCAUUUUCUCCAAGCUCUUCUUGUCAGCUUCUUCCCCAAUUACUAGCUUCUGCAACUCUCCAGCAACAAAACAUUGGUGUACCCAAGUUGAUAGAAUAAUCUCUUCUGGUUUUGAUGUGUUAAGCUCCAUAUUCCUUCUGCAGCAAACAAUUUCCAAGAGCACAAUUCCAUAACUGUAGACGUCUGCCUUAACUGAAAUUGGUGUGUUCUUGAGCCAUUCUGGUGCUACAUACCCCCUGGUUCCCCUCAAAAUUGUGAAGGUCCUUGUUUGAUCUGGCAUCAGCAAUUUUGCCAACCCAAAAUCAGCUAUCUUAGCAGUCCAAAAAUCAUCCAUCAAUAUGUUCUGUGGUUUUAUAUCGCAAUGAAUGAUGGGAGUCUCACACUCCUCGUGUAGAUAAAGGAUCCCUUUCGCAACAUCAAUUGCAAUUCUUCUUCUCUCGUUCCAAUCUGGCCUACCUGAAGACUUGAAUAGUAGAUUUGCAAGGGAGCCAUUGCCUAUGUAUUCGUAAACCAGAAGUCUUUUUGAAUCCACGGCGCAGUAUCCCAACAACCGGACUAAGUUCUUGUGGUGAGUUCUUCCUAUUGCUCGCAUCUCUGCCUGGAACUCCCUUUCACCUUCUUCCAGUAACUUCUCUAGCCUCUUCACUGCAACAAGCUUUUUUCCUCUGUAUAAAGUCCCUUUGUACACUGCUCCAAAUGAACCCUUUCCCAGCUCUUCUUUGAAGCCAUUUGUUGCUACUUUAAGCUCUUUGUAUGAAAACAACCGCAAUUUAAGCUCCUCAGUCAGACCAUCCUCCCCAUUUUCCAGUAGCCUUUUAUAUCUUAUGGAUCGGAUUUUGUAAAUGAAUAAACAAAAAAUUAUAAGGCUAAUACAUGAAAACAGGACAAGACCAGAAGUCAUAAGAAUUGCGGGCAGUAGUUCUUUUUCGCUUGCAAACACAAUAAUGGUUGGCUUUGAAGGGAUAAGGUCAGUCCUAUUACCUCCAAUGCCUACCUUCAACAAAGCUGUGGUGGACGCAUCUUGAUCUCCUAAUUGAAUUUUUCUAACAACAUACCUCAGUGGAAGCCCUUGUUUCAUGCACAUGUUUUUAGAGAACAGUGCUGCCCCGCAGUUGCAGUCUUCCAAACAAGACUUGCUGCAUUCGUCUAUGGACAUGGAUUGUUGAACAUAAUGACGGUCUCCCCACUCAAUAUUUUCCAUGGUAGUGAUGUUAAAAUGGAGUGCAUUUUCUUUCCCACCUUUACACCCUGAUUCUGAAUAGUUUCUACUACAGCCAAGAGUCCCUUGAUUAGGGUCAAUGAGAGCAGAACCAGGAAGACAAAGACAUACUGGUUGGUCGCCAUUUAAUGUGCAAUAACUAUUGAACCCACAAAAGCUUUUCACUUCACAAGGAUUUUUCAAUGCUGGCCAUGCUUUCAGUUCACCGGUCUCGUCGUAUGUAUGAGAAUACAAGCGCAAAACGCCAUCAGUGUCUAGAGUUGCAUGGUAAAUUGUACUGCUGUCAUUGUUUGCCGAUAAUGAGUUAUAAUAUAGGGUCUCGAUGAUUUUUGAAAUGGUACCGUUGAUAAUUAGUAGGUGGCCAGAGCUAUUGAGAUAAAGAUGAAACUUGGAACCAUCCCCAAAAGUUUGGGAGUCCCAGUAAGCAUUACCUGGUGUAUCCCCCGUAUUCAGUGGGUAUAAAACAAGGUUCCCAUCGUCCUGCAUCUUGAGGUGAAACCGUCCGGUGGAGUGGCCGGUGUCUGAUGAACUUAUCAAUUGACGCCCAGAAAAGAGAGUCUGACCUCCUAAAAUGGUAUCAGUAGGAUACUUAAAACUCUCCCAAAUGACCUCAGAAUCCUUGUUGUAGAGGACCAAAUUGCCAGAAUCAUGUAGAGAAGCAAAGGAAGCAGCUUCUGUUUUAGUAGCAAUAAGUUUCUCCCCUUCUUGGCCAAUUAUGCAAAGAAGCUCGCCAUCUUCUGUCAAGACGAUUGUUGAAUCUUCAGAUACUGGUGGAUCAUUGCGAUUUGCAGUCCACACAACUGUUGUGUUGUGUUUCCCAACCAGCCAAAUUCCAACGGCAAAGCCAGUGCCUUGGUGAUAGAAUCCAAAUGCAAAUCGACCAGAAGGGGAGAACCAUGAAGGAGGAUGAGAUGUUGGAGAGAGUGAAGAACCUAGAAUUAUCCUGCCAGGAAGUUCCUGUUCAGCUCCUUCGACAGCAGAGAGUACAUAAAAGAACAGGAGAAUGGUAGACAACACGGGAGCCAUGAUAACUUAUGGAUUUCAAUUUUUGAAAAAUGGGCAAGAAUUGCAGGAGUUGUUAUAGUGAUUCUUAGUUCUAUUUUCUGAUAGAAUUUGGCCUUGGUUUUCCAAGCCAACAUUAUAAAUUUUAUAAAUUUCUUUGC
rnacentral:misc_RNA from 1 species